rnacentral:rRNA from 1 species
CGAACGCUUUUUCUUUCACCGGAGCUUGCUCCACCGAAAGAAAAAGAGUGGCGAACGGGUGAGUAACACGUGGGUAACCUGCCCAUCAGAAGGGGAUAACACUUGGAAACAGGUGCUAAUACCGUAUAACACUAUUUUCCGCAUGGAAGAAAGUUGAAAGGCGCUUUUGCGUCACUGAUGGAUGGACCCGCGGUGCAUUAGCUAGUUGGUGAGGUAACGGCUCACCAAGGCAACGAUGCAUAGCCGACCUGAGAGGGUGAUCGGCCACACUGGGACUGAGACACGGCCCAGACUCCUACGGGAGGCAGCAGUAGGGAAUCUUCGGCAAUGGACGAAAGUCUGACCGAGCAACGCCGCGUGAGUGAAGAAGGUUUUCGGAUCGUAAAACUCUGUUGUUAGAGAAGAACAAGGAUGAGAGUAAAAUGUUCAUCCCUUGACGGUAUCUAACCAGAAAGCCACGGCUAACUACGUGCCAGCAGCCGCGGUAAUACGUAGGUGGCAAGCGUUGUCCGGAUUUAUUGGGCGUAAAGCGAGCGCAGGCGGUUUCUUAAGUCUGAUGUGAAAGCCCCCGGCUCAACCGGGGAGGGUCAUUGGAAACUGGGAGACUUGAGUGCAGAAGAGGAGAGUGGAAUUCCAUGUGUAGCGGUGAAAUGCGUAGAUAUAUGGAGGAACACCAGUGGCGAAGGCGGCUCUCUGGUCUGUAACUGACGCUGAGGCUCGAAAGCGUGGGGAGCGAACAGGAUUAGAUACCCUGGUAGUCCACGCCGUAAACGAUGAGUGCUAAGUGUUGGAGGGUUUCCGCCCUUCAGUGCUGCAGCAAACGCAUUAAGCACUCCGCCUGGGGAGUACGACCGCAAGGUUGAAACUCAAAGGAAUUGACGGGGGCCCGCACAAGCGGUGGAGCAUGUGGUUUAAUUCGAAGCAACGCGAAGAACCUUACCAGGUCUUGACAUCCUUUGACCACUCUAGAGAUAGAGCUUCCCCUUCGGGGGCAAA